UACGUAGGGGGCGAGCGUUGUCCGGAGUUACUGGGCGUAAAGCGCACGCAGGCGGUCUGCUAAGUUUGGAGUGACAGUUGGUGGCUCAACCACCAAAGUGCUUCGAAAACUGACAGACUUGAGGGCUUCAGAGGGACACGGAAUUCCGGGUGGAGUGGUGAAAUGCGUAGAGAUCCGGAGGAACACCGAAGGCGAAGGCAGUGUCCUGGGGAGUACCUGACGCUCGAGGUGCGAAAGCUAGGGGAGCGAACGGG
rnacentral:rRNA from 1 species